rnacentral:lncRNA from 1 species
ACCUAGCAAGAUCACAUGCAAUCAUAUCAAGACAUAGCAUCAUAAGGUAUGGCAAGGAUGGUAUGACAUGGAUGCAUGCAUGCAAAAUAAGAACAAAAGGUGAAACAUGAAAUCAUGCAUGCAUAGAUAACUCUCAUGACAAAGUCAAGGUGGUCCCACAUGGAAGGUUACAAAAAGGGAAAGUCUUACACUUGGGGCACU